AACUAACGCUGGCGGCGUGCCUAACACAUGCAAGUCGUACGAGAAAGUCGGCUUCGGCCGAUAAGUAAAGUGGCGCACGGGUGAGUAACGCGUGGGUAAUCUGCCCCCCGGUCAGGAAUAACCCGCCGAAAGGCGGGCUAAUACCCAAUAACACUGACGCUCUGCGGAGUGUCUUUCAAAGAAGGCCUCUGUUUACAAGCUUUCACCGGAGGAUGAGCCCGCGUACCAUUAGCUAGUUGGCAGGGUAAUGGCCUACCAAGGCAACGAUGGUUAGCUGGUCUGAGAGGAUGACCAGCCACACUGGAACUGAGACACGGUCCAGACUCCUACGGGAGGCAGCAGUGAGGAAUCUUGCGCAAUGGGGGAAACCCUGACGCAGCAACGCCGCGUGAGUGAGGAAGGCUUUCGGGUCGUAAAGCUCUGUCGGAUGGGAAGAAAUGGUUGGAGGUUAAUACCCUUCAUCCUUGACGGUACCAUCAGAGGAAGCACCGGCUAACUACGUGCCAGCAGCCGCGGUAAAAC
rnacentral:rRNA from 1 species